UGGGGAAUCUUGCACAAUGGGGGCAACCCUGAUGCAGCGACGCCGCGUGAGCGAUGAAGGUUUUCGAAUCGUAAAGCUCUGUCCUAUGGGAAGAUAAUGACGGUACCAUAGGAGGAAGCCCCGGCUAACUACGUGCCAGCAGCCGCGGUAAUACGUAGGGGGCGAGCGUUGUCCGGAAUUACUGGGCGUAAAGGGUUCGCAGGCGGCAUGGCAAGUCCGAUGUAAAAGGCGAAGGCUCAACCUUCGUAAGCAUCGGAAACUGUCAAGCUUGAGUGAAGGAGAGGCAAGUGGAAUUCCUAGUGUAGCGGUGGAAUGCGUAGAUAGUAGGAGGAAUACCGGUGGCGAAGGCGACUUGCUGGACUUCAACUGACGCUGAGGAACGAAAGCGUGGGUAGCAAACAGG
rnacentral:rRNA from 1 species